rnacentral:rRNA from 1 species
GGUGAGAAUCCCGUUCGGUUGACCUUAUGAUGCUCUACGAUACGCUUUUAAAGAGUCGAGUUGUUUGGGAUUGCAGCUCAAAAUGGGAGGUAAAUUUCUCCUAAGGCUAAAUAUCGGCGAGAGACCGAUAGCGAACAAGUACCGUGAGGGAAAGAUGAAAAGAACUUUGAAAAGAGAGUUAAAUAGUACGUGAAAUUGUUGAAAGAGAAACGAUUGAAGUCUGUCGUACCGACGAGAAAUCAGCUCCUUAUGCGCUUUCUUGUGGGCGUGCGUGAGUUUUAACGCCUCGCUGUUUGCAAUGUUUGUGUAUUUUUGGGUGUACUUUUUCGUAUGGUAGGCCAAUGUCAGUUUCGAUUAUCAUAAAAUGAUCGGAGGAAUGUAGCUUUGAUCUCGGUUGAAGUGUUAUAGCCUCUGGUAGAUGUGGUGAUCGGGACUGAGGAUUGCAACGAAUACCCUUCGGGCUAUCCGUCUGACCUCUGAAAGUCGCUUAGGUGCCGAAAGCUUGCUUACGGUUAUUUAAGUUGGCGGUCAAAAGGUUAGAACGUGAUUAUAUUCGUUAAGGAUGUUGACGUA